GACGAACGCUGGCGGCGUGCUUAACACAUGCAAGUCGAACGGAAAGGCCCUGCUUUUGUGGCGUGCUCGAGUGGCGAACGGGUGAGUAACACGUGAGUAACCUGCCCUUGACUUUGGGAUAACUUCAGGAAACUGGGGCUAAUACCGGAUAUGAGCUCCUGCUGCAUGGUGGGCGAUGGAAAGUUUCGGCGGUUGGGGAUGGACUCGCGGGUUAACAGCUUGUUUGUGGGGUAGUGGCUUACCAAGGGUUUGACGGGUAGCCCGCCUGAGAGGGUGACCGGCGACAUUGGGACUGAGGUACGCACCAGAAUGCAACGGGACGCAGCAGUGGGAAAUAUUGCGCAAUGAGCGGAAGUCUGAUGCAACAACGCCGCGUGCGGGAUGACGGCCUUCGAGUUGUAAACCGCUUUCGCCUGAGACGAAGCGUGAGUGACGGUAAUGGGUAAAGAAGCACCGGCUAACUACGUG
rnacentral:rRNA from 1 species